AUGUAGUGCGAUGGAGAGCGCGUUGGACUUCUAAUCCAAAGGUCGUGGGUUCGAAUCCUAUCAGGAUUG